GUCCACGCCCUAACGAUGGGUACUAGACGUUGGGAGGUUUAUCCUCUUGGUGUCGCAGCUAACGCAAUAAGUACCCCGCCUGGGGAGUACGGUCGCAAGAUUAAAACUCAAAGGAAUUGACGGGCCCGCACAAGCGGUGGAGCAUGUGGUUUAAUUCGAUGCAACGCGAAAACCUUACCUGCCCUUGACAUCUAGAGAACCCUGCAGAGAUGCGGGGUGCCUUCGGGGAACUCUAAGACAGGUGCUGCAUGGCUGUCGU
rnacentral:rRNA from 1 species